rnacentral:rRNA from 1 species
GACGAACCGUGCGAACGUUGUUCGGAUUCACUGGGCUUAAAGGGCGCGUAGGCGGGUGACCAAGUCAGGGGUGAAAUCUUUCGGCUCAACCGGAAAAGUGCCCCUGAUACUGGUUGUCUCGAGGGAGGUAGGGGCAUGUGGAACUUCCGGUGGAGCGGUGAAAUGCGUAGAUAUCGGAAGGAACGCCGGUGGCGAAAGCGACGUGCUGGACCUUUCCUGACGCUGAGGCGCGAAAGCCAGGGGAGCAAACGGG